rnacentral:rRNA from 1 species
GUCUAUGGCCAUACCAUCCAGAACAUGCCCUGGUCUCAUCUCGGGAGCUAAGCAGUCAGGCCUGGUCAUACUUGGAUGGGAAACAUUGUCUCACAAAGUAAACAAAACAAAUGCCAACCAGGGGCUGGAUA